rnacentral:sRNA from 1 species
GAGAGGAAGAGGAAGAAGAAGAAGAAGGAA